GUGACUUUACAGCAGAAUUGGCUUAGUGUCUGUGCCCAUGACUGCAGGCACAACAUCCCCUUCUUCUUCACUGAUAUAACUUGGAUUUUAGCCUUGAUCAUUGACUCCUUGAAUUAAAAAUGACUUUUCCCAGGCUUCCUUGCUGCUGGGUGUGAUGACUAGCUUCUGGACAAAAAAAUGAAAUGAAUGUUUUGGGCAGGGCUUCCUGGAAGGCUCUCUGAAGAAGGCUGAUUCAGCUGGCAGGAAAACAGCGAAGGACAAUGUGUCAGACAGGUGAAGGCAACUGCAGCAAAUACAUCAGUCUGCGCAGCGCAGAAAAGCUGCUCUGCGACAACAUCCGGUCCUAAUCCUGCACUCAGAAAACCUGUCAAGAGAUCACCCGACAUUUCCAAGGUUUUGAUUGCUGCCUAGAGAACAAGCUACCCCUAUAUGUCAGUUGGAGAAGCCCAGGGGCAGUGUGUCCCACAGAGAGCGGGACGCUCACUCCCACAGCUACCACUUUCUAGCUGGGUGGCCUUAUAGAGAGGGGAAGAGAGGGAGAAAGAGAGGAAAACAUCAAUCAGUUACCUCUCGUUCUCCUCUUCCAGAGACCAAAUCCAGAACUUAGGCAUAUGUGCUCUGACUGCAAAUUGAACCCUCGACCUUUCGUUUUGCAGGAUGACCUCAGCCAACUGAGUUACACCAGCCAGGAUUCAAGUGACAUCUUUUUAAAUAAAAUUUUUGGUUUUAGUUUGCAAAUGAUCUUACCAUUAUGUCUCAGGACUUACUCUUGGUCAGAAGUGGGGUGUUGGAUAUGGUCAAAGAUGUGGGGUCCCAGAAAGUCACAUCAUUGUGUACCUUUCCCCAGAAGUCAAAGGGCAUGAGAAAGAACAGCCAAUGGCCUGCACUCUCAGCAGAGGGAAGCCCUGGCCUUGGUUCCUGCAGAGCCAGCCCAUACCAUCCGGCUGCACCAGUGAGGAGCUGACAUCUGGGCUGUACCCAGUGCAGCACCCAUGGCUUACACUCCUCAGGAAUACCAGUGUACUCAACACAGCAACUCUUGUUUGAGACUUGAGGUUCUGGCGGAAGCAAAGAAUAUUUUAAUGUCAUGCUGAGAGUCACAGAGGGUUACUAACAUGACCCCCUUUAAAAGUGACCAUUUCCUACCUGGCCUUCCCUCACACUUCCACGACCUCCAACACAACCCUUAUUCUCAGUCAUUGACUAGAUUCCCUGUCACCCCACCUCCAAUCAGUCGAUCCUCUGAUGUCUGCCAUUACUUUCAUUCUUCCUGUCAUAGCCAGUGCCAUGUCCUGUCUCUAGGCAGAGAAUCCAUCCUUCCAACAUCCUCAUGGGCCUUUUGUUUGCAGUAAACAUACCCCCCUCUCUCUUCUGCAUUGAUUCUGUCUCCUCAGGGCCAUUCCUAAUAUGCUCCAGUAUAUAGUCCCUCCUUUAUCUUUAAACUCCCCUUGAUUCCAGUCCUUUAUCUCCUCUACCUCAUCUCUCUGUCUCCUUCACAGAUAGUCUCAAAAGAACUGCUUGUAAUCACUGUUCCCACUUCUCCUCUCCCACUCUUGACAUAUCCAGUCGUGAUUUCUCUGUUCUUAUUUUAUUUGGCCUUUUGGUAUUA